rnacentral:rRNA from 1 species
GACGAACGCUGGCGGCGUGCUUAACACAUGCAAGUCGAACGAAGUGGCGAACGGGUGAGUAACGCGUAAUCAACCUGCCCUUCAGAGGGGGACAACAGUUGGAAAUGACUGCUAAUACCGCAUACUGAAGGUGGGGAUUGCGUCUGAUUAGCUAGUGGGAGGGGUAACGGCCGACCAAGGCGAUGAUCAGUAGCCGGUCUGAGAGAAUGACAGGACACAUUUGGACUGAGAAACGGCCCAGACUCCUACGGGAGGCAGCAGUGGGGAAUCUUCCGCAAUGGACGAAAGUCUGACGGAGCAACGCCGCGUGAGUGAUGACGGCCUUCGGGUUGGAAAGCUCUGUUAUUCGGGACGCGGUACCGGAAUAGAAAGCCACGGCUAACUACGUGCCAGCAGCCGCGGUAAUAC